GAGCUUCUCUACUUUCUGCAGGUGAAGCUCUGCUGGGCGAGGGAGUGCUAAGGAGCCAGAAAAAGUUGAGGAAAGAAACCAGUGUAGCAGUAUUUGCUUGCGAUAUGCUGAGCGCUAGCUUGUUCAUCACCUCACUGGCCCUGUGAAAAAACCGACGAAGAAACCGCACCUACAGUUAGACUAUAAAGAAGACUGAGUGCUGAAGAAUUGAUGCUUUCAAACUGUGGAAUUGGAGAAGACUCCUGAGAGUCCCUUGGACUGCAAGGAAAUCAAACCAGUCAAUCCUAAAGGAAAUCAAUCCUGAAUAUUCAUUGGAAGGACUGAUGCUGAAGCUGCAGCUCCACUACUUUGGUCACCUGAUGCAAAGAGCACACUCAUUGGAAAAGACUGAUACUGGGAAAGACUGGAGGUAGGAGAAGGGGACAAGAGGACGAGAUGGUUGGAUGGCAUCAUCGACUCAGUGGACAUGAGUUUGUGAAAGCUCCGGAAGACGGUGAAGGAAGGGAAGCCUGGCGUGCUAUACCCCAUAGGGUCGAAAAGACUCAGACACAACUGAGCAACUGAACAACAACAAUAGUUUCAUCAUUUCCAGAAUGUCGGGUAGUGGGAAUCAUACAGUAUGUAGCCUUUUCAGGUUGGCUAUUUAGUAACAUGCAUUUAAGGUGUUUCCAUGUCUCUUCAUGGCUUAAUAGCUUAGCACUGAAUAAUAUUCAAUUUUCUGGAUGGGCCAUAGAUUAUGUAUCUGUUCACCUACUGAAGGACAUCUUAUACUUCUAAGUUUGGGCAAUUAUGAAUAAAACUGCUCUCAGUAUGUCUAUGGGUUUUUUGUCUGGAGAA